rnacentral:rRNA from 1 species
GACGGAGGAUGCAAGCGUUAUCCGGAAUUAUUGGGCGUAAAGCGUCCGCAGGUGGCUGUUCAAGUCUGCUGUCAAAGCGCAGAGCUUAACUCUGUACAGGCGGUGGAAACUGAAGAGCUGGAGGUAGGUAGGGGAGAUCGGAAUUCCUGGUGUAGCGGUGAAAUGCGUAGAGAUCUGGAAGAACACCGAAGGCGAAGGCAGCGGCCUGGGAAGUCACUGACGCUCAUGUGCGAAAGCCAGGGGAGCGAACGGG